UACAGAGGUCUCAAGCGUUGUUCGGAUUCAUUGGGCGUAAAGGGUGCGUAGGUGGGUCUGUAAGUCAGUGGUGAAAUCUCCGGGCUUAACCCGGAAACUGCCAUUGAUACUAUAGGUCUUGAAUAUCCUGGAGGUGAGCGGAAUAUGUCAUGUAGCGGUGAAAUGCUUAGAUAUGACAUAGAACACCAAUUGCGAAGGCAGCUCACUACGGGAUUAUUGACACUGAGGCACGAAAGCGUGGGGGAUCAAACAGG
rnacentral:rRNA from 1 species